rnacentral:rRNA from 1 species
AGCAGCCGCGGUAAUUCCAGCUCCAAUAGCGUAUAUUAAAGUUGUUGCAGUUAAAAAGCUCGUAGUUGAAUUUCGGGAUCAAGGAAUCGGUCAUGCCUUGGUAUGUACUGGUUUUAUUGGUUUUCACCUUCUAAAGAACCAUAAUGUCAUUUAUUUGAUGUUAUGGGGAAUUAGGACUGUUACCUUGAAAAAAUUAGAGUGUUUAAAGCAAGCUUAACGCUUGAAUACAUUAGCAUGGAAUAAUGAAAUAGGACAUCAGAUUCUAUUUUGUUGGUUUCUAGGAUCGAUGUAAUGAUUAAUAGGGAUAGUUGGGGGCAUUAGUAUUCAAUUGUCAGAGGUGAAAUUCUUGGAUUUAUUGAAGACUAACUACUGCGAAAGCAUUUGCCAAGGAUGUUUUCAUUAAUCAAGAACGAAAGUUAGGGGAUCGAAGACGAUCAGAUACCGUCGUAGUCUUAACCAUAAACUAUGCCGACUAGGGAUCGGAUGAUGUUAAUUUUAUAAUGACUCAUUCGGCAACCG